rnacentral:rRNA from 1 species
GACGAACGCUGGCGGCGUGCCUAACACAUGCAAGUCGAACGGAAAGGCCCUGCUUUUGUGGGGUGCUCGAUUGGCGAACGCGUGAGUAACACGUGAGUAACCUCCCCUUGACUUUCGGAUAUCUUCAGGAAACUGGGGCUAAUACCGGAUAGGAGCUCCUGCUGCGUGGUGUGCGUUGGAAAGUUUCGGCGGUUGGGGAUGGUCUCGCUGGUUAUCAGCUUGUUGGUGAGGUAGUGGCUUACCAAGGCUUUGACGGGUAGCCGGCCUGAGAGGGUGGCCGGCGACAAUGGGACUGAGAUACGGAGCAGACGCGUAUGGGACGCAGCAGUGGGGAACAUUGCGCAGUGGGCGGGAGCCAGAUGCAGAAACGCCGCGUGCGGGAUGACGGCCUUCGGGUUGUAAACCGCUGUGGCCUGUGACGAAGCGGGAGUGACGGUAAUGGGUAAGGAAGCACCGGCUAACUACGUG